rnacentral:SRP_RNA from 1 species
GCCAGGCGCGGUGGCGCUUGCCUGUAGUCCCAGCUACUCGCUGGGAGGCUGAGGUGGGAGGAUCGCUUGAGCCCAGGAGUUCUGGGCUGUAGUGCGCUAUGCCGAUCGGGUGUCCGCACUAAGUUCGGCAUCAAUAUGGUGACCUCCCGGGAGCAGGGGACCACCAGGUUGCCUAAGGAGGGGUGAAACGGCCCAGGUCGGAAACGGAGCAGGUCAAAACUCCCAUGCUGAUCAGUAGUGGGAUCGCGCCUGUGAAUAGCCACUGCACUCCACACUCCAGCCUGGGCAACAUAGCGAGACCCCAUCUCU